rnacentral:rRNA from 1 species
UACGAAGGGGCUAGCGUUGCUCGGAAUCACUGGGCGUAAAGGGUGCGUAGGCGGGUCUUUUAAGUCAGGGGUGAAUCCUGGAGCUCAACUCCAGAACUGCCUUUGAUACUGAGGAUCUUGAGUUCGGGAGAGGUGAGUGGAACUGCGAGUGUAGAGGUGAAAUUCGUAGAUAUUCGCAAGAACACCAGUGGCGAAGGCGGACUCACUGGCCCGAUACUGACGCUGAGGCACGAAAGCGUGGG